CGCCCGCCUAGGCGACUAAGCUCUGGUCGCCAAGUUUGAUGUCUAGAAGCGCCCAGCGCUUAAUGUAACAUUACUAAUAAGUAAAUUUCCUCUUGGACAUUUGUUAAAAUGAUAUCUCACCUCACACCCAUUUAAUAGUUGUAGGGGUUUUAUGUUGUUGCGCAACUGUUUCCUUGUAUUGUCUCAUUGUAAACAUUGUACUAGAUUUUUUUCGUUGUGUAGAGUUCUAGUUUUAUCAUAUUGCGAAGUUUCUUACAUGUGAGCCUAGGGCUCCUUUGUUCUGACACAGAAGAAAACUAGCUUCAAAAUUUUAAUGAUGCAGCAUCUUGAGCUGGAAAUGUUGGAAUCUAUUUUUACGUUACAAGUACUCAUUUUGACUUUGCAUAACGUGUCUUAGACCGGUACCCUGGAGAACUCAGGUUUCAAGGCAUCUCAAGUUAAAAAUGAAAUCAAGAAAGAUGAUGUAUACAAUGGAAAUUAAUAUCAUCUCUGGUGGAAGGUUUUUGACUAUAGGCAUUUUUGGUUUGUGGUUUGAGUAUUUGCACCAAAAACAUAUGCAUUUGAAUAGAAGAAAUAGGAAGACAUAAACUGUUAAGGAGAAUAAGGGACAGAUGAAGUAAUGGAAUUUAAAGAAUAAAGUAGGGGAAUUGAAGGCCAUUUAGUAAUUGUAGACUAUAUUGUGUUUCGUAUUAUAAUAGCUCAUAGACUAUAUUAAGUAACUUUAUCAGAUGUUUUACCAACUAAACAGAUAACGGUUUGGUUAUUUUGUGUUAUAGGGACAACUGGCUCUCUGUCUUCCAUUUUUAUAUGUUCACCACAUGUUGAGUAUCUUCUCUAGUGUUCCAGCUCAGAUCAUUGCAGGUGCUUGUGAGGUCGCAAGGCCUAAAUCCUAAAGGAGACCGAGUAGAAGUCGUUGAAGGGGUUCAUCCCUAGUUGUCAGCUCCGUUUGAGCCAUUACUAAACUUUUGUAAUGUUAUAUAUGAAAAGCCUUGAUCCUAAACCUGCUUCCUUUUCCAGCUCUCUGAAGGUAAUCCACAUAGCAAUCACAUUUGUCUUCGCAUAAACUGCUGUUGCUGAGACUGAAAUCUUGCAAACACGGGCUUUCUUUUCUAUCUUGAUGUCGUAAUCCCAAAACUUGCGUCCUAUACAUCCUACUGGUAUUUGGAUCUACAGAAACUGAAGAGGUACUUCCUUAUUAUAGAAAAGAAUAAGAGCUAAGUAAGUUUUGGAGUAAUGACCUCUGCGGAUUCCAAACCAGUAUAUCAAUUUACAUCUUCAUUGCUGUUCUCUUUGAAGUUUCUUGAUGUUAAUGCUGCCAGGUCAAUUUGGUCUCAUACUUAAUUGCUAAGUGGCAAGAGUCCUUUGUUUGACUGUAGGAUCAUGCACAUACUAUUAUUUAUAAAGAGCCCCACUUUCUGUUUGUAUAAAUGUCAUCUUUAGAAUACCAAGCAUGCCCUCGUACUUUGAAAAAAGAAAAUGACACCAUCCUUGAAAAAAAUCCAGUGGAAAUGCCCUCAUGCCUUGGAAGAUCAAUGGAAAUGCCCUCAAACUUGGAUCCAAAAAAAAUAAAAUAAAAAAAUAAUAAUAAUAAAUAAAAAUAAAAAAAGAUAACAAACUGCUCAUUUGCUUGAGCAUUCAACUACAACGCUCCCCCAGGUUUAAUAUCAUGCAUGCAUGACAUGCAUUGAAAUACUUAUAUCUUAUUUGAAAUCAAAAUUUUAAGUUUGACAAUGGGGAGCCCACAAGUCAACCUUUAUCUGGUUUGUAUUGAUAAAAUAUGUUUCCUUCGAGAUGCGGCUCUGCAGACACAUGCUUCACAGAUGCAAUAACUUGUACCAUCAUGCUAUCUUGGGACUUUAUGGUUGAUGCACUACACUUAUUGUUAUACCGGUUUGUGUUGGAUCCACAAAUGAUCUUGUACAAAGAAUUAGUCCUGUCUCUCCAAUUCACAUGCAAUACGGUAGUGAGAUGGAAAAAAGAAUGUACAUGUGAGUGAUGAUGGUGAGACAAGACUGACAUGAUGUGGUUAGACAAAGAAUAACAUGGAGAUGUAAUCAACGAAGACAAUUUUAUGAAUUGUUUGCUAUUCUUCAGAUAUCAACGAGAUGAUUGUAGUAGUAGUGUCCAUGAAUGAGAAGUACAACUGCAUGUUUUAUGCAAAAUGGCAAAUUGUUCAUCCAAUACAUUAGAUUAGAGGUGACAAAAUUACUGGGUUAGGCCACUUUGACUUAUACUUAGGACUUUGUCGCCACGUUACAGUCUAGUUUGAGUUCAAAUAGUACACAAUAGUGAAUUGGUGUACUUGUCAACAACUUGUGAAUAUUGUAUCUCAAAAUCUAAUAUAGAUUAUUUUGUGUUGUUUGAAAACCAAAUUGACCCCAUAUCUAAAGUCAAAAUGAGUUCUAAUUAUCUCAUAAUUGUCUCGCGGAUUGUAAAAGCAGUUCUUUUGAUUUUGGAAGUUUCUGCACACUUAUUUGACUGCUGUCUUGUCUCCUUACAGAAAUUUAUUUGUACACCCGAGUCCUGCAACAUUUCCCAGUCUCUUCCAUCAUAUAGGUAUUUCCUGGGAGGGUCAGGAGGUUUCUCCACUUUGCCAAUAUCAGGUUAGGUAGAGUGUUUCUCCGAGAACUGUUAACUUGCUUAUACAGUAUUUUAUUCUCGACAUUUUCAGCAUAUUAUUUUUUUAUGGUUCGAUAGCGCCCCAAGCCCCAAAGGUUAGGGCUUAUUAGGGAAAAAACCUUCGCAUUUUUUGUCAGGGUUUCCUGAUAAAAUCUUAUUAAAAGUGGUUUUCUCUAAACUUAAGGGAGUUCUCUAAGGUUUUGAAAGUUAUGGGAGAUUAUCUGAUAAUCGUCCAAAGUUAAGGGUUUCUUUCCUGAUAUUAAGCCAUAUAUUAGAUUGACAAUUACUCUUUUCUGAUGCUGAGAAUACUAAUAUUUGCUUCAUAUAUUUGUUGCUUAAUGUCAUCGGAAUGAGAUCCUUUUUUUCUUUUAAAAACUUGCUACUACACUGGAUCUGAGAACACAACAUACUUGGAUGGAGUGCAUCUCCAAUAACAGUGAGCAUUAUAGUUUAUUUAAAAAGGGCUUAGUAGCGAAAGUUUGUCAGAUAGGUAUGUAGUUUAUUAAAAUUGUUUAGCUUAAAAUAAUUAAUUAAGGCCACCUUAAGAAAAUUAUAGGUCUCUUUUUAUGCAAGUCUAUAGAUUUAGUCAUAGGUGAAUCAUGUUUGAUAGUUGAAGGUGUUCUAGCUCGUCGUUUAAAGAAAAGUAAGUUAGUUUUGACUUCAUGCAUAAGAUGCCCACAAUACUUGAAUUGAGUAUCUUAAACAAAUGGUUCUAAGUAAUAAAUCAUUUUACACAACUUUGUACGUGACAGACUUAUAAAUUAGCCUUGAGGAGCGUGCAAGUGCUCCUUACCUGUCACUGACAUACAUGGAGUAGAUUUCUAUUAGCAUCAAGGACUGUGUAGAACAAUGUUUAGCUGUGCAAAUUUCACUAUUAAAGAAACUUCCAUAUUUGGACGUCUGACUGAAGUUUGUAUUGAGUAGAAAUUUAGUCUUGGGUAUUUAUCUAACAUUUACUGUUCAUGUCAGUACUGGUGUCAUGGAAAACAAAAAUGCUGAAUGUACUUGCAAUGGCUUCUAAAUUUUUAUCCCAUAAAUUGUCUACUGUUAAACUUAACUAAAAUUGUGAAUGCUCCAUUCCAUAGAAGUAAAGUGCUUAUAGGGUACUCCUUGAUUCUUAUAUUAGUUGUCAUGUUUUUCAUUGUUAUAUAGUGACCUCAAUGAUCAUUGUGGCAAAUCCUAACUGAUAAGUAACCAUGUAUAUUUCUUGCUCUCUUCCCUCAUUUUUUCCUGUAAUUCAAAUAAUUUGAAGGUUAACUAUGCAACACGAAUUGUGUUGAUAGUAAACCAUGAAAAGAGUUCAAUAAACACGACGCGAACAGAUUAGUUCUUAGUGGCAUCUGUAUGGCAUGCAAUCCAUUUUGCUUUUAGUUUUUGUUCAAUUGGUUAAGACUAAUAAUAUACUUCAAUAUCAAGACUAGGAGGCCUUGCCACUUCACUUUAUUGAAAUAUUAAGUAAGCUGUCUAUCUCCUGAUAACUUUUUAUUGGUUCUCCCUCUAGAAGGGAUUUUUGAUGGGCACUAAUGCUCAUUCUCUUCUAUUAGUUACCGUUGGCUUUAUGCUAUAAAGCGCUGGAAGAGGGUCGAUCUCUCUUUAGUAAGAAGGCGAGCUUUAUGCUAUAAAGCCCUAGAAAUGGGUCUUUCUUCCUUCAGUAAGAAGGUGAAUGUUGGAGAUGCCUUCUUACUGAUUAUUCCAAAAACGCGUUUGUUUGAUUUCUGUUAGUAUAUACUUUCUUCAAGGAACUUGCCUGCUAAUUAGUAGGAACUAUAUGAUAAUUUGUAUAUCCUUUGAUAACCGCUUGAUAGCAUUUUUUAUGUCAAUUGCUAGUUUUUGUCCCAAACUUUCCUAACUUCCAAUUGUUGGUUAGACUUCUACUUCCAUGCAAAGACGUCUGUCCAAUGUAAGAAUGUACCGUUAGUACAUUUAUUUCUAGGUAAAUCAUACAUGCUAGUAAAAAUUGCUACAGGAAAUCAGACACCCCUGUAUAUUAAGUGAAGAGAUUAGUUUGAAACAGUGUAAGAAGGAUAACUUGAAGUAUUUCCUUCUUUCUUUUCUCUAGCCAUGAAUACAUCCUUGUUCACUACCCCAAAAUACAUGUAUAAAAUGCAGUUCACCAUCCUGCUACCUAUGACUUACACGCCAUCAUAGAAGCCUUUUCCCUAUUUCUCUACCCCUCUCUCUUUUUGGUUUGGUUUUGUUUUAUAUUUCUCAGAUUGUUGCUUCUGGCUCUGUAAUCUACUGCUGAAACAAAGAUUGACCCUGAAACUUCUGGAUCUGAUGUGGUUGUUCGCAUUAGCUUGUUUCUGGGUGUUUCAAAUGUUUGUUCUCAGGAGUUGUGUGCAACAUGUGCUCGCAAAUGUCUAGUCCUAAGUGUUGUGGUGAAGUUUUUAUCCUUUUCCUUUUCUUGUAUGUAUUUAUUCUUUAGACAGGCGUGGUUAAUUGUUGAGGUUAAUUGUUGUCGUU